AAGAGGUGUUAAAUUGCUCAGGUCCAUAUGUUAAUCAGUCAAAUUAAACUAGCAUAAUCACAUUUAGACAAAAAAGAACUUCCAGCAACCAAUGUCUCAAUCAAAUGGCACCAGUCCCACAAUUAUCUUAAUCUGACUCUUCUGGCUUUCAAAACAACUGGUGAACAUUCCACAUAAACUAACCUAAUAUACAACUGUAUUAGGAGUUACUUGUGA
rnacentral:misc_RNA from 1 species